GUGGGUCACCAAGCGCCCUCAGAUAUGGGGGCCCGCUAAUGUGGGAAUAAUAUAUAUCCAGGUUGGCGUCGCCCGUGAAGACUGUAAAUGUCACCAUUAGGGGAACCACGUCUGAAUCCCAUCCGGCGGGUGGGAGCCAAGGCUUCUCGCCUUGUCUCCUUGCUGUUUUAUUGGUUUUUACCCAGCCGGUGCCCAAUCCUGUGGCGUACUACCUGCACCACUCACCCUGGUGGUUCCAUCGCUUCGAGACGCUCAGCAACCACUUCAUCGAGCUCCUGGUGCCCUUCUUCCUCUUCCUCGGCCGGCGGGCGUGCAUCAUCCACGGGGUGCUGCAGAUCCUGUUCCAGGCCGUCCUCAUCAUCAGCGGGAACCUCAGCUUCCUGAACUGGCUAACUAUGGUGCCCAGCCUAGCCUGCUUUGAUGACGCCACCCUGGGAUUCUUGUUCCCCUCUGGGCCGGGCAGCCUGAAGGACCGAGUUCUGCAGAUGCAGAGGGACAUCCGAGGGGCCCGGCCCAAGCCCAGAUUCGGCUCCGUGGUGCGGCGUGCAGCCAACGUCUCGCUGGGCGUCCUGCUGGCC
rnacentral:sRNA from 1 species